rnacentral:rRNA from 1 species
AGCUAUAUAUUAAAGAGAUUUAUUUAUAUAAAUAGGUUUGCUAGCUGAUUGUGUAUAUACGCAGGCCAAUGCUUCUAAUUUCAUAGCAAGCUCGCUUGCUAUGAAAUAGGCAACCAGUAAUAUAAGCAAGUGUGUGCUAUUUAUAGCGCUAGCCUACAAACCUAUAAUUAUAUUAACUCUAAGAGAAAUUUAAUAAUAAACGAAGUGAAUUGAAAUAUCUUAGUAACUUUAGGAAAAGAAAUCAAAAGAGAUUCUAUGAUUAGCGUGAGCUAAAAUAGACUAGCCUAAAAAGUCAAAUGGUGGAUAAACUGUUUAAAUUAAAUGGGGAACCUUCCUCAAAGGCUAAAUAUAAUAUAUAAGCGAUAGUGGAAAGUACCGUGAGGGAACCAAAACAAAAACAGUGAUUUUAUAAGCAGUUCGGUAAAAUAAAAAAAAAGUUAGAACGUACCUUUUGCAUAAUGGGUCACCAAGUUAACAUUAGAUGCGAGUAGGAGGGAGCAGCCCCGUGCAUACGUAGUUAAACCGAGCGUUAAAAUAACGGUAAGUAUCUAAAGUUAGACCCGAAGCCUGGUGAUUUUACCAUAAUCAGGAUUAUAAAAGUCCGAACGGAAUAUUGUAGCAUAAAUAUCCGAAGAAUUAUGGUAGGUGUAGUGAAAGACAAUACUGACCAGGAUAGCUGGUUUUCUGCGAAACCUAUAACAGUAGGCAAUUUAAGUAUAAUAUCUUAGCAGGUACAGAAUUUAAUCUCAGACAAGACAUAAGGCUUAGCUUGUUAGCAAGUAAAGCUCAUGUUUUAUUUUGUACAAAUUGGGGGAUCAUGAAGAUUUUAUCAGUGAGUAUGUAGACUCGGAAUGGCAAAGAUAUAUCUUAAAUCAUCAGACAUAGAAUGAUAAGGUUGUAUGUCAAAAGGGAAACAGCCCAGAACAAGAGUUAAGGUUCCUAAAUUAUUAGUUGAGUGAAAUUAAGAAGGUUUUUAUUAAAGUCGACAAGGAGAUAGGCUUAGAAGCAGCCAUAAUUUUAUGACCUCGUAACAGAGCGCUUGUUAAGUUUUAAAAGCAUCGAAAAUUUAUCGGAUCUAAACAAUAUACCGAAACCUUGUCCAUAUUAUUUUAUAAUUAAAGCUUAAUUAUAAUUAAAUGGGGUAGCAGAACGUUGAGCUAAAUUAAGAUUUUUAUUUUUUAAAUGAAAUUAUAAUAAUUUAACUCAAGUGAUAAUGGUGACAUGAGUAACUAAAAGAAAAAAUAAAAUUUUUCCGCCUAAAGCUUAUGGAUGUAAUUAAGUAACGGCCUCUAAGUUUAUAUUAUCUAAAGAUUUAAACGAUGAGAUAAUCUUUUGUACUAAGGACGACAUUUUAAGUGAAAAAUGUACUGGAAAAAUAGUACUAAAUUAAUGGCUAUAGCUAAUUAGGGCUAUAAAAAAAAAUUUAUUUUUUUUUUAUAAAGCUCGCUAUAGCUAUAAAUGAAAAGUAACCGUACCUAGAAUCUGAAACAAGUAAGCUAGUAGAGAAUACGAAGGCGUAAAUGAGCUAACAAUCAUAAAGGAACUCGGCAAAUUGACUACCGUAACUUCGGGAUAAGGAGAGCUCAUUAUUCUUGAUUAAUAUCAGGUAAAGAGGAAGAAGCAUGAAAUAGUGUUGUACGACUGUUUAAUUAAAACACAGCACUUUGCUGAAAGAUUAAAAAUCUAAGUAUAGAGUGUGAUGUCUGCCCGGUGCCGGCUGGUUAACAGAUAUAAUUAAAUAUACUAAUAUUUGAUGUAGACGGAAACCCCGGUUAAAGGCGGCCUUAACGUGAGGGUCCUAAGGUAGCGAAAUGCCUUGGCCGUUAAAUGCGGUCUUGCAUGAAUGAUGUAACGAUACAACAGCUGUCUCUAUGAUUGACUCAGUGAAAUUGGAAUAGCUGUGCAGAUACAGUUUACCUCUAGUUAGACGAGAAGACCCUAUGCAGCUUUACUGUCACUAAUUAUAGAGUAUGAUAAACAAUUUUCAGAUUAUAAGGUAAUUGACGGCUAGCUUGUUCAGCAAGCUAGCUCUAUGACAAUGAGAAUCCUUUAUUUUUUUUUCAUAUGAAUGAAUUGGUUUAGGAUUAUGAGUAGGUAGCUGCUUCUGCUACUUGGCGCAAGCAUUGCUUGCGUCAAGUGUCUGAAGUAUGCAUUCCAGCUCAUGCAUAGUAAAUCAACCUAAUUCAGCUUAUUUUCCUUUCUGCCAUAAGCGCAUAAUGAUAGAUUUAACUUAAAUUUUGAUUUAUGCCGAGCCCCUCCGGGGCUACUGCAGAAAUAGAUAAGUACCCUUGGCUAAGGAACUAUCGCUAGGGGACAGUUUAUGUGGGGCACAGACCCUGUAAAGAGUAAACAGGAGUGUCUAAUAAUUUAUAAUUAUUUUGUUUGCGAUUUAAGAUAGUGAAACUAUUUUUAAUCAUAUAAAAUUAUUUAUAUGUACAUUCGUUGUAUAUAUAUUUAAAAAAAGGUAGGAUUUUCACUAUAUAGAAAUUAGAGAUAAUAAAAAUAUUAAGAAUAUACCUUUCAGGUAACACUAAUAUUUUUUAGCUAUUAAGACAGGCUAUCAAGCUAGGCUCUAAUAGUUAUGUAUUAAUUAUCUAAAAAGCUCAACGGCUAAAUCUUGCCUUACUGUUUGAUUAUCAACAAAUCUUACAGUUGCGUAAGCAGGGCAUAGGAUCACAAGAUGCAACAAGGAAAGAUCUUGGAUUAUUGGAAAAGCUACGCUAGGGAUAACAGGCUAAUUUGCGCAAGAGUGUACAAAAUGAGUGCGCGGUUUGGCACCUCGAUGUCGGCUUAACUUAUCCUCAUGGAUGCAGGAACUAUGUAGGGUGCGACUGUUCGUCGAUUAAAAAGUUACAUGAGCUGGGUUAAAUACGUCGUGAGACAGUAUGGUUUCUAUCUUCUAGGGGGAAUUAGAAUAUAAUAAGAACUAACUUUUGUACGAAAGGAACAAGAAGAAUUUAAUUUGUAAAAGGGUUAAAUAAUAGUUACUAACCUAUGGUUUACCUGUUGUCUAUGUGCCCAAAUAUUAAAAUAUAUAUAUGGAGGAAGCUCCUUAAGAGCUUCCCCCGCAAAUUAUAUAUAUCUGUAUAGCUAGCCUGCGGACUCCGGUUAUGCCUGAGUUUGGCAAGCUAAAGCUAUACAUAGGGAUGUUUCUUUCACUAAGAUAAAUAUAUAGCAUAGGCACGGCAGGAAAGCUAAGUUGGUUAAGGAUAAGUGCUGAAAGCAUAUAGGCACGAAGCUUAUCUUAAGAUAUUUCUUAAAUAUACGUAAAAUAUUAUUACGAAGGAUGUAAUAUAGGCUUUAUCCGUACGAAUCAGGAGAUUUUUAAGAAUAAAGUACUAAUUUUAUAAAUAACUAUUUAU